CUGAGGAUUAUGUUUCAUAAUUAAUAUUAAUGUAACAGUGCAAUAUGUAGCCUGUUACUGUUGGUUGGGCUGCAAACCCAAAAUGUGGGAAUUAUUUUUAAAACAUAUUCUGUGAAAUUAUUCUUCCAGCAAUAUUAUUUUAUCAGUACAGGGAAUAAACAUUUUAUCAAUCUGUUUCAAGUUGAAUUAUUGUUAUUUAUUUAAAAGAUUUGUGAUUUCUGAUUGGUUAACAGCCAACGGUGAAACCCUCAGUGAAACUCCGCCUUUGGCUUCGGUCGACAACACAAACCUCAGUAUCGAUAAUUCUUCACAUCAUGCAAAAACCAAAUUUAAAAGUUGUUAAAUAUUGCCAAAAUCUCAUCAUGGUACCAAAUAU
rnacentral:lncRNA from 1 species